AACGAACGCUGGCGGCAGGCCUAACACAUGCAAGUCGAGCGGACCCUUCGGGGUUAGCGGCGGACGGGUGAGUAACGCGUGGGAAUAUGCCCUUCUCUACGGAAUAGUCCUGGGAAACUGGGGGUAAUACCGUAUACGCCCUGUGGGGGAAAGAUUUAUCGGGGAAGGAUUAGCCCGCGUUGGAUUAGGUAGUUGGUGGGGUAAUGGCCUACCAAGCCGACGAUCCAUAGCUGGUUUGAGAGGAUGAUCAGCCACACUGGGACUGAGACACGGCCCAGACUCCUACGGGAGGCAGCAGUGGGGAAUCUUAGACAAUGGGGGCAACCCUGAUCUAGCCAUGCCGCGUGAGUGAUGAAGGCCUUAGGGUUGUAAAGCUCUUUCAGCUGGGAAGAUAAUGACGGUACCAGCAGAAGAAGCCCCGGCUAACUCCGUG
rnacentral:rRNA from 1 species